ACGCUCGACACCUACGGGAGGCAGCAGUGGGGAAUAUUGCACAAUGGGGGAAACCCUGAUGCAGCAACGCCGCGUGAAGGAAGACGGUUUUCGGAUUGUAAACUUCUGUUCUUAGUGAAGAUAGUGACGGUAGCUAAGGAGCAAGCCACGGCUAACUACGUGCCAGUAGCCGCGGUAAUCUGAGCGGGCUGGCAAGGC
rnacentral:rRNA from 1 species